GGCGACUGUGGCUCAGUAGGAAGAGUAGUUGUCUUGCAAUCAGAAGGUUGUGGGUUUGAUUCCAGCAUUGUCCAGUUCCA